CUCCGGUUGAUCCCGCCGGACCCGACUGCUAUCAGAGUGAGAUUAAGCCAUGCGAGUCAACGUAGCAAUACGUGGCACACGGCUCAGUAACACGUAGUCAACAUAACCAAAGGACGUGGAUAAACUCGGGAAACUGAGGCUAAACCGCGAUAGAUCAAGAUAUCUGGAAUGGUUUUUGAUCGAAAUCUAUAUGGCCUUUGGAUUGGACUGCGUCCGAUCAGGCUGUUGGUGAGGUAAUGGCCCACCAAACCUGUAACCGGUACGGGCUCUGAGAGGAGGAGCCCGGAGAUGGGUACUGAGAAAAGGACCCAGGCCCUAUGGGGCGCAGCAGGCGCGAAACCUCUGCAAUAGGCGAAAGCCUGACAGGGUUACUCUGAGUGACUUUCGCUAAGAAAGUCUUUUGACAUCUCUAAAAAUGGUGUAGAAUAAGGGGUGGGCAAGUCUGGUGUCAGCCGCCGCGGUAAUACCAGCACCCCGAGUGGUCGGGACGAUUAUUGGGCCUAAAGCAUCCGUAGCCGGUUUUACAAGUCCUCCGUUAAAUCCAGCUGCUUAACAGAUGGGCUGCGGAGGAUACUAUAAGACUAGGAGGCAGGGGAGGCAAGCGGUACUCAGUGGGUAGGGGUAAAAUCCGUUGAUCCAUUGAAGACCACCAGUGGCGAAGGCGGCUUGCCAGAAUGCGCUCGACGGUGAGGGAUGAAAGCUGGGGGAGCAAACCGGAUUAGAUACCCGGGUAGUCCCAGCUGUAAACGAUGCAGACUCGGUGAUGGACUAGCUUUAUGCUAGUCCAGUGCCGCAGGGAAGCCGUUAAGUCUGCCGCCUGGGUAGUACGGUCGCAAGACUGAAACUUAAAGGAAUUGGCGGGGGAGCA
rnacentral:rRNA from 1 species